rnacentral:pre_miRNA from 1 species
UGAAUACUUCCUACCUCCGGAAAUACUUGUCGAAGAAAUGAAUGUAUUCGGACAUAUUUUAGUUUUAUAUACAUUUAUUUUUAUUCGUUUUCACGACAAGUAAUUCCGGGCGGAGAGAGUAGAUU